GCUGAAGCUGCCAUGUGGUCUGGCCCCC
rnacentral:piRNA from 1 species